GAUGAACGCUGGCGGCGUGCCUAAUACAUGCAAGUCGAGCGAACAGAUGAGGAGCUUGCUCCUCUGACGUUAGCGGCGGACGGGUGAGUAACACGUGGAUAACCUACCUAUAAGACUGGGAUAACUUCGGGAAACCGGAGCUAAUACCGGAUAAUAUCUUGAACCGCAUGGUUCAAUAGUGAAAGACGGUUUUGCUGUCACUUAUCGAUGGAUCCGCGCCGCAUUAGCUAGUUGGUAAGGUAACGGCUUACCAAGGCAACGAUGCGUAGCCGACGUGAGAGGGUGAUCGGCCACACGGGAGCGGAGACACGGUCCAGAGUCCUACGGGAGGCAGCAGUAGGGAAUGUGCCGCAAUGGGCGAGAGCCUGACGGAGCAACGCCGCGUGAGUGAUGAAGGUCUUCGGAUCGUAAAACUCUGUUAUUAGUGAAGAACAAAUGUGUAAGUAACCAUGCACGGCUUGACGGUACCUAAUCAGAAAGCCACGGCUAACUACGUG
rnacentral:rRNA from 1 species